UUCAUUUCGGUAUUCAUUCAUGACAAGGCGGUGAAAAAAAUACAACGACGACGGGCAGUAAGUUCAUUUUUUCACUAUCAUUUUUAAUUUUGCUUCAAUACUCAGCUUAAACAAAUUGGUAAAAUCGUUUUUAUUAAAUCUACGCUACAAAAGUGACGCGCAAAAGAAAUACAGUAAUAGCUACUGACGCACAAAGUUCACAAGAACAGCUAAAUUAUUCGUAAAAUAUGGAGAACCCAAAUGAUUUACCCGCACCAUCUGGAUCGACUGAUUUUCCUGUUUUACCCCCGCCUCCAAACUCAACCACUCCCAGCAAUAACAAUCAAUCACAGAAGCGCUUACAACAAACUCAAGCCAAGGUCGAUGAAGUGGUCGGUAUUAUGCGAGUCAAUGUAGAGAAAGUCUUGGAACGUGAUCAGAAACUAUCGGAAUUGGGCGAGCGAGCUGAUGCAUUGGAAGCUGGUGCAUCACAGUUUGAGCAACAAGCCGGUAAAUUGAAACGCAAGCAGUGGUGGGCCAAUAUGAAAAUGAUGAUCAUUAUGGGUGUGAUCGGUGUGGUGCUCUUAAUUAUCAUAAUUGUUUUGCUCUUUAAUUAAUUGGUACCAAUUUUCGAAGCCUUUUUGAUCAGCAUUUUAAGUGCUAUGCAUAAAACUAUAUUCGUUAUAAGUGUGUGUGUGUGUGUAGUGCUUGUAUUUUCCAUAGAUUUUAGUAAAAACAAAUAUGCGUCAAUUUUGUUUAAGUAGGAAAACGUUGAGGUUUGCGUUGACACACCACGUCCGUUAGCCAUUUUCUAUAAAGUUUUCCUUCCUGCCAUCCAGCGGCAGCAGCCCAAACACGCACAAUGAAGUCCAAAACGGUUCUUCUUCACCUUAAACAAGCUCAAAUGAUUGCAGUGGCCUUACGGUUCAUGAUUGUUUUGUUUGAACGCCGUCGAAAUCGUGAUUUACAAGCACAAAAUGCCAGAACACAAUCAAUAUGUAUUGAACCGAAUUUUUU